rnacentral:rRNA from 1 species
GUCCCCCGUCGACGCGGUCCCCGGGACCAUCGGUGCGUCCUGUCUGGGACCCCUGGCCUGACUGGACGGGGGCUCCCUCCUGGCCCCGGUCGCUCCUCCCGCUCCCGUCGCCCGACCCCCCGCGGGGGCCCUUCGGGCCUCUGCCUCGGCUGUGCCCCCUGGGCUCUCUCGUGGGGGUACCCGGGGCUUCCCCCUACGGCGACCGACUCCCUACGCUUGGUUCUGACGACGNCUUGCCC